rnacentral:lncRNA from 1 species
CCGCGAUGUGUGCAUACACUCUGGUAGUGCGCAUGCCUAUCUUGUGCAUGUGCGGAUGGUAGGCUGUGUCCAUGCGUGCAGGCCUCCCCUUGCAAGUGGGUUUUCUCUCCUACAUACCCGCAGUUUCGCGAGUAAUUUUCCCACGACCACUUCAAUUCUUGUGGGUUUCCCACUCAAUCUGGGACUACUUUUCUCAAAUCUCAAAGCUCUUAGAUUU